GAGGACAGGGCGUAUAAAAGCCUUUCGAGGAAGGUUGAGAAGAGAGCAUUUCGUCCGAUCAAAGCUCUCAGUUUUCCUCGCACCACUCCCUCGCUUCCUCCUUGUAUUGGAGAGAAGAAGGCAUUUUGAAAAGAAGGAAAAGGAAAGAGCAGUGAAAGCCAAAGAGAUUCUCCUCCGAAAAUCAAAAUAUUUCUACUCGAUUUAUUUUUUUCUUUUUCUUUUUUGGUUUCCGAGAAGUCCGCCGUUAAUUCUUGUGAGAAUUAGAAUUGAUCGAAGGAGUGGCGAAAAAUUUGAGCUCCAAAGAGAUCAUCUGGAGAGAUUCGAGGAUCUAAUCGUUAUCCAGAUAAGAGCUAUGAGGAUCAAAAUUGGAAAUUGAAGGUUUCUUUCCUCUGGUUGAAGAGAUGUGUUUCCUCUUAAUAAUCUGUCCAGAUUCCUCUCAGUUCAAGUGCAUUUUUAACAUGAGUGCCGUCGAUCUCUGCUUUAAUUCUCUCAAAAUUGAUGAAAUAAAGUUCUAAACACGCAUAUUUUGAGCAAUAUUCAAAGAAGAGAAGAUCGGGACAAGCUCCGAUCGCAGCAAACAGUUCAAAAUCCCAGAAGCCACAGAAAUGACAUUCGUUCCAAACCCGUUCAAUUAAUUCCACAAAGCUUCAGAACUGCGACCAGAUAACAAGCCAAGGCCUAGGCAUCGAAGGAUACAUAGAUGGAGAGGGAGCCGAGGAGUCCCUAUCACACUCGUGGUUCGAGAGGCGUUAAUAAUGCAGGCACUGGGUCGUUGGCUUUGUCCCAGCCGGAUUUGCUGCUACACCGGGGUAACCGGAAGCGGCUGAGGUGCGUCAAGGUCUAGCGGAAGGACGAUGUGGCCACCAACAACAAGUCCACCACCACGGUUCGGGUUGUCCGGGUCGACAAGGACUCGGGCUCGGCUCGUCUUCCCCGCCGCACCUCCCAGACCCAGCAUCGCGACCUUAGGGUGGGAGCGGGGAGGGGACCUAGCACGUGCUUCUGGGUCAGGGCACGUGAGGUGUGCAUCAAGGCGUACUGUCCCUCGUUGCAGACGCUGUUUUCGCUCUCUUUGUUUCUUUUCUCUACUGAUGCUAUGCUCCCGGAGCGCUAGAAGCCGGGAUUGGAUCCGACAUAAUGGUUCCGCGGGCGUCGUGCUGUUUCCUGUUA